UCAGAGCUGCAAGAAGCUGACCGCGCCCCUCUCCACGAGCAGAGCGUCCCCCUGAGGAUUUAAGGGGCGCCAACGACCUUGUCACUCCCCAAUCCGCUUUGAUUUCGGGGUCCUGGGGGUCGCCAAAAGCACGCGGCCAGCUGAGUGCCUCAAAGAUGAGGAAACUAAGGCACAGCACCCAAAAGGAGGACAACAAAACAAAACUGAUCUACCAACUCAACUAAGGGACUUCCUUAGCCUCCAGUCAGGAUGUGUACCCUCAGAAACCCGAAGCUCCCACUCCAGCCCCAGCGCAAUUCCCCUCAAUCAGCAUAGGUGACCAAAACAAAACCAAGAAAAAGGGCUUCUUCUACUAGAAAGUCUGUUUUCAACCAGCAACAACAAAGCCCCCAAAGACAAGGGUCUUCCUACCUUCUUGAGGCAGAGGAGAGAAGAGCACUGACAACAAAGAGAAGAAGAUACGAAAAAAUUUCUCAGUAAAUUAUCGUGCCACAUAACACUCAAUGAAUUUGUUCAAUUAAUUAAAAGCAGAAAUAUCCAUGAAAAAAACAUGAGUGAAAUUGCUCUCCCAAAGAAAGACACCUCCACUUAGCAGGCCUCCUCACUUAGCCUAAGCCUCUUCAUUCCUUCCCUGGGGAUGGAGGCCUAAAAUCUCUGGAUUCCCCCCAUUUAUGGCACAGGGACGCCACUCACAUGGCUGAGUUAAUUUAAGCUGCUGACUUGGAUUGCUGACAUGGGCAUUUGUAACAGCUCUAUUAACCCACUUUCUCUCAUGGUUGAUUUUAAUCUCUUUAAAUUUUGCCCAGCCAGUGAGAAAACUGAAAGCAUAGUUGAGAGGGUAUGGGAGACAGAAGUUGCAGGUCAUAAGCUGAGUGGUGGUUAAAUCCUAUGGAAGGAAGCAAACACGUGUAUAAUCCUUUCAGGAAAACAAGUAUUACUGGAGAGGAGAAAGCUGCCAAUGUAACUUUGU